rnacentral:rRNA from 1 species
AGCGUACACGGUGGAUGCCCUGGCAGUCAGAGGCGAUGAAGGACGUGCUAAUCUGCGAUAAGCGUCGGUAAGGUGAUAUGAACCGUUAUAACCGGCGAUUUCCGAAUGGGGAAACCCAGUGUGUUUCGACACACUAUCAUUAACUGAAUCCAUAGGUUAAUGAGGCGAACCGGGGGAACUGAAACAUCUAAGUACCCCGAGGAAAAGAAAUCAACCGAGAUUCCCCCAGUAGCGGCGAGCGAACGGGGAGGAGCCCAGAGCCUGAAUCAGUGUGUGUGUUAGUGGAAGCGUCUGGAAAGGCGCGCGAUACAGGGUGACAGCCCCGUACACAAAAAUGCACAUGCUGUGAGCUCGAUGAGUAGGGCGGGACACGUGGUAUCCUGUCUGAAUAUGGGGGGACCAUCCUCCAAGGCUAAAUACUCCUGACUGACCGAUAGUGAACCAGUACCGUGAGGGAAAGGCGAAAAGAACCCCGGCGAGGGGAGUGAAAAAGAACCUGAAACCGUGUACGUACAAGCAGUGGGAGCCUCUUAAUGGGGUGACUGCGUACCUUUUGUAUAAUGGGUCAGCGACUUAUAUUCUGUAGCAAGGUUAACCGAAUAGGGGAGCCGAAGGGAAACCGAGUCUUAACUGGGCGUUAAGUUGCAGGGUAUAGACCCGAAACCCGGUGAUCUAGCCAUGGGCAGGUUGAAGGUUGGGUAACACUAACUGGAGGACCGAACCGACUAAUGUUGAAAAAUUAGCGGAUGACUUGUGGCUGGGGGUGAAAGGCCAAUCAAACCGGGAGAUAGCUGGUUCUCCCCGAAAGCUAUUUAGGUAGCGCCUCGUGAAUUCAUCUCCGGGGGUAGAGCACUGUUUCGGCAAGGGGGUCAUCCCGACUUACCAACCCGAUGCAAACUGCGAAUACCGGAGAAUGUUAUCACGGGAGACACACGGCGGGUGCUAACGUCCGUCGUGAAGAGGGAAACAACCCAGACCGCCAGCUAAGGUCCCAAAGUCAUGGUUAAGUGGGAAACGAUGUGGGAAGGCCCAGACAGCCAGGAUGUUGGCUUAGAAGCAGCCAUCAUUUAAAGAAAGCGUAAUAGCUCACUGGUCGAGUCGGCCUGCGCGGAAGAUGUAACGGGGCUAAACCAUGCACCGAAGCUGCGGCAGCGACGCUUAUGCGUUGUUGGGUAGGGGAGCGUUCUGUAAGCCUGCGAAGGUGUACUGUGAGGUAUGCUGGAGGUAUCAGAAGUGCGAAUGCUGACAUAAGUAACGAUAAAGCGGGUGAAAAGCCCGCUCGCCGGAAGACCAAGGGUUCCUGUCCAACGUUAAUCGGGGCAGGGUGAGUCGACCCCUAAGGCGAGGCCGAAAGGCGUAGUCGAUGGGAAACAGGUUAAUAUUCCUGUACUUGGUGUUACUGCGAAGGGGGGACGGAGAAGGCUAUGUUGGCCGGGCGACGGUUGUCCCGGUUUAAGCGUGUAGGCUGGUUUUCCAGGCAAAUCCGGAAAAUCAAGGCUGAGGCGUGAUGACGAGGCACUACGGUGCUGAAGCAACAAAUGCCCUGCUUCCAGGAAAAGCCUCUAAGCAUCAGGUAACAUCAAAUCGUACCCCAAACCGACACAGGUGGUCAGGUAGAGAAUACCAAGGCGCUUGAGAGAACUCGGGUGAAGGAACUAGGCAAAAUGGUGCCGUAACUUCGGGAGAAGGCACGCUGAUAUGUAGGUGAAGCGACUUGCUCGUGGAGCUGAAAUCAGUCGAAGAUACCAGCUGGCUGCAACUGUUUAUUAAAAACACAGCACUGUGCAAACACGAAAGUGGACGUAUACGGUGUGACGCCUGCCCGGUGCCGGAAGGUUAAUUGAUGGGGUUAGCGGUAACGCGAAGCUCUUGAUCGAAGCCCCGGUAAACGGCGGCCGUAACUAUAACGGUCCUAAGGUAGCGAAAUUCCUUGUCGGGUAAGUUCCGACCUGCACGAAUGGCGUAAUGAUGGCCAGGCUGUCUCCACCCGAGACUCAGUGAAAUUGAACUCGCUGUGAAGAUGCAGUGUACCCGCGGCAAGACGGAAAGACCCCGUGAACCUUUACUAUAGCUUGACACUGAACAUUGAGCCUUGAUGUGUAGGAUAGGUGGGAGGCUUUGAAGUGUGGACGCCAGUCUGCAUGGAGCCGGCCUUGAAAUACCACCCUUUAAUGUUUGAUGUUCUAACGUUGGCCCCUGAUCGGGGUUGCGGACAGUGUCUGGUGGGUAGUUUGACUGGGGCGGUCUCCUCCUAAAGAGUAACGGAGGAGCACGAAGGUUGGCUAAUCCUGGUCGGACAUCAGGAGGUUAGUGCAAUGGCAUAAGCCAGCUUGACUGCGAGCGUGACGGCGCGAGCAGGUGCGAAAGCAGGUCAUAGUGAUCCGGUGGUUCUGAAUGGAAGGGCCAUCGCUCAACGGAUAAAAGGUACUCCGGGGAUAACAGGCUGAUACCGCCCAAGAGUUCAUAUCGACGGCGGUGUUUGGCACCUCGAUGUCGGCUCAUCACAUCCUGGGGCUGAAGUAGGUCCCAAGGGUAUGGCUGUUCGCCAUUUAAAGUGGUACGCGAGCUGGGUUUAGAACGUCGUGAGACAGUUCGGUCCCUAUCUGCCGUGGGCGCUGGAGAACUGAGGGGGGCUGCUCCUAGUACGAGAGGACCGGAGUGGACGCAUCACUGGUGUUCGGGUUGUCAUGCCAAUGGCACUGCCCGGUAGCUAAAUGCGGAAGAGAUAAGUGCUGAAAGCAUCUAAGCACGAAACUUGCCCCGAGAUGAGUUCU